GGGGAAUAUUGGACAAUGGGGGCAACCCUGAUCCAGCAAUGCCGCGUGUGUGAAGAAGGUCUUCGGAUUGUAAAGCACUUUCGACGGGGACGAUGAUGACGGUACCCGUAGAAGAAGCCCCGGCUAACUUCGUGCCAGCAGCCGCGGUAAUACGAAGGGGGCUAGCGUUGCUCGGAAUGACUGGGCGUAAAGGGCGUGUAGGCGGUUUUGACAGUCAGAUGUGAAAUCCCCGGGCUUAACCUGGGAGCUGCAUUUGAGACGUCAAGACUAGAGUGUGAGAGAGGGUUGUGGAAUUCCCAGUGUAGAGGUGAAAUUCGUAGAUAUUGGGAAGAACACCGGUGGCGAAGGCGGCAACCUGGCUCAUUACUGACGCUGAGGCGCGAAAGCGUGGGGAGCAAAC
rnacentral:rRNA from 1 species